ACAGACAGAAUAGCUCUUCUUGCUGAUCUUUGCCGAGCCGCUGGAAAAAUCUAACUUCUCGGAGCCCUGGGGCAUAAUGGUGAAGGGAGUAUCCAACUGUCUCUUAUAGAUUGCAGAGGACAAAUGGAUGAUACAGAAGUGCUUCCCAACCGAAGGCAGAAGAAGAGAGACCAACAAAUUUCGUUGUCUAUUUUCGUAGGCAGUGGCGAAACACUAUGUUAAAACACUAUUAUGAACACCGCCAACACAACAUCGUUGCUUUGGCUGUAUAGCAAGACCGCGAACGUAUGCCUGAGUUGUACUAUUUCAAGCAGAAAAUAUGAUACGACAUACUAACAAUAUACAACAGUUAUAUAAACAGAACAGUGAUAGCCCUAUGUGGAAAUUUGAUGUUACGCUUGAGUGAGUCGCAUUGUUGCUAUUUUAUAAUAAGAAAGACAAUACGUACUUCACUGUUAUUACAUAUCACAUUAUUUCUGUUUAAUACCUCAACAAUAUAGAGAUAUACGUACAAAGGAAGAAUAUCAUUAAAAGUAGUCUGCUA